rnacentral:rRNA from 1 species
GAUGAACGCUGGCGGCGUGCUUAACACAUGCAAGUCGAACGGAAAGGCUCCUGCUUGCCGGGGUACUCGAGUGGCGAACGGGUGAGUAACACGUGGGUGAUCUGCCCUGCACUUCGGGAUAAGCCUGGGAAACUGGGUCUAAUACCGGAUAGGACCACAUUUUGGAUGGUGUGGUGGAAAGUUUUUCGGUGUGGGAUGAGCUCGCGGCCUAUCAGCUUGUUGGUGGGGUAAUGGCCUACCAAGGCGUCGACGGGUAGCCGGCCUGAGAGGGUGUACGGCCACAUUGGGACUGAGAUACGGCCCAGACUCCUACGGGAGGCAGCAGUGGGGAAUAUUGCACAAUGGGCGCAAGCCUGAUGCAGCGACGCCGCGUGGGGGAUGACGGCCUUCGGGUUGUAAACUCCUUUCGCUAGGGACGAAGCGAAAGUGACGGUACCUGGAGAAGAAGCACCGGCUAACUACGUG